rnacentral:sRNA from 1 species
CUCCUGUUCUGGCGGCCAGGGACAUGGACAAACACACUUGCCAGUUACAGUGGCAUCAGGUGCUGCAGUCAGAGAUGUACGGAGGAGAGUAAGCCUGUGGGGACUCAUCCCCGGAGGUCCUAGGGAAGCCGGGCUGCCUACAGGGUAGGAUUACAGACAGAGCGCGUCAGUAGGCAAGGCAUGGUGAAGGAGGUCUCCUGGGAAGGCCAAGGACGCCAAAGAAGAGUCCAACUGACAAAGCGAAAGUAGCAUUUCAAAUCUGUAAGACGGUGUGUGUCUGGUAGAAUGGACCUUGACUGUUACACUAAGGAACCCAAAUAUGAACCUCUGAAGAACUGUGGGAAGGUUUUAACCAGGAAGGAAAAUGAGGCUCACAAUGAAGAUGAGGCCAGAAACAAGUACAGGCAAACACUGGGAAGACUCUAGAAGCUGCUGCAUACAAUGGCUGAUAAGGAACACAGAAAUCACAAUUGCUGAUGACAUUGCUGCUGGCUUUCAAAAGAGACAGUUCAGGGCCUUCUGGUAAUAUCUCAAGAAUGGUUUUAAAAAAAGAAUUAUAUACAUUUCAGUGCAACCUUAAAGUAUUCAUGGGUACUGCGUUUCCCCAGUGUUUUGAAAGAAAGCCUCAAGAAGCCAGAUCCAUACAUAUUUAGUUUAAAUUAAGUGUGCCACAAGUAUACAUUCCAAUGCCAUACCGUCAGUUUCUUAUCGCUCAUAAAGGCAACAAAUGUAAGCAUGCCCUUUCUUUACCUUCCCUGUGCUCAUCUACAGUUUUCUUUGCCAUCAGAGACAAGUAGUUAUUAUUAUUGAGCAUUUUUAUGGUUAUUAUUCAAUUUAACUCACAGUCCCUUCACAGAGCUCAGAGCAUAGCGCUCAUCAAAAACACAGUUGCCACUGCCCUUUUGGUGACAAUGUUCAUGGGGCUGGCUGCUGGCCUCAGUGCUCUGUGAGGCUCUAGGUAUCCAUGGACCUCAGGGCGCAGGCAGUCUUUACUCCCCAGUGGAAAAGCAUACAGCUCAGCCUACAACUUCGGCUCCAGGACAGUUUCUUUAUUCCAUAGGAACUGCUAUGAGGACAGGGUAGUUUGGAAGUCACCUUCUGUGAGUUGCUUGCUUACCCUUCUAUGAGAUCCUACGUUGUGUGUCCUUCCUGUUUUAGAUUACCUGGCUGACCUUAUCCUAGGCAGUGGCUUGGUUGCUCUUUUGUUCAUGCACAUGUGGCAGUGUGGGCACUGGACAACACAGGCAAACCCACGAGUAAUUCCUUCUCUGUAUUUACUAUGAAUCGUUGGGACCAAGUUCUGCCGAUGUGUCCUCUCCCAAUAGUCUUCUCACUAGUGACGCUAACUACUAACCCUUCACCCCCCCCCCCACCGAAUAAUUUAUUAAUGCCUCUCUGAUGUCGAAUCUGGGGGAGAUUUAUUCAUGUGUCAAUUCAGCAGUUAGUGUUUAUUAACUCCUGCAGAAUGAACAUUUUACCAUGCAGGAAACACAUGCAGUUACAUGAGGCAUUUGGUUUGUGCCUUACCAUAGAAAUGGACAAGGAGGAGUCAUUUUUAUCCCCUUUAAUCUGAAGAAGUUGGCUUGUCCAUCCGGGUGCAUCUGGAUAGCCCCUCAGCUAUGGGGUGACUUCACCAUGUGUCCAGCUCUCUGUACACCCAUGGGGAGAGGCCUCCUUCUUUCACAUGUGGGACUUAGAAUACGCCCAUGGAGACUAGCAAUGACUUCCUUCUUGGCUCUGAGCAUUUCCUGGGUUUUCUGAUAUUGCUCUGUGUGGAAGAGGAUUGGCCUGGCUCUUAAGACAUAUUAGUAGAUGGAUGGGUUCUACUAAGAAAAGGAAGAAAGGCAGGCAUGCCUGUGGGCACACAGCAGCUAACUCAGCCAGACCUACCUUCCACGGCUAUUGCUCAGUCCUCAGAAUGGCCCUGGGCCCUGGCAGGAAAGGAAGAGGCCACCCAGAGAGGCAUUUCCUAAGGCAAGAUUAAGCAGAGUCUGGGGAGACUGGAUUUGGUCAAAAGGAAAUGGAAGAAGGUAGUCUGUCUCCAACAGAGAGAUUCUGGGACAAGACAGAAUGAUAGGAACCCAACAAAAACAAACCUGUU